rnacentral:tRNA from 1 species
AUCUGGGUAGCUCAGUGGUAGAGUGAAAGAUUGAAAAUCUUUUUGUCAGAAGUUCAAUUCUUCUCCUAGAUG